UUGUCGCCAUUGCCCGGCCGUCGCCGUCAACUAACACUGCUGAAGGUAUAUGCAUCACUUUCUCUAGCUUUAGUUUUGAGUUGAAGUUGAUUCUAUAUUGUCACUAGUCUCUUUGUGGGACUAUAACUGGGUUUUAGAUGAUGAUCUCUCAGUAUGAUCAAUUUGUGAGGAAAUGGGCUGAAAUUUAAAGGUUAGACCUUAUGUGACUAAAUAGGCUUGGAUGUUGUGAGAAUUAAGUUUGAGAUGGGGGCAAGAAAAAGUCUUGAAUGGAAAAUGAAGGGUUGAUCCGCUCUAUCAUUUGAGGAAUGUUGACCUUUUAUGUGUUUGCUUUCGAUCUUAUUAUGUUAGUAUGAUGUUGGUUUAUUCAUGACUUCAUUUGAUUGCAAAGUGGGGAAAAUAAUUCAUUCGUAGAAUAAAGUAACUAGGAUAUUUCAUAAUAUUUUUGGACCAUCAAAGAGUAAUCCAAAAUCCAGAGAUGAAGCUCAUAAUUGAACUUUGAAUCAGUUUAUACAAGAUUCUUAUGCGUAAGAUUUAUAUAAGAAUAUGCAUAAGAUUCUAUGCUCUUAAUUAAUACUCUUUUCAUCCUUUCUUUGUCAACUCUGAAAAUUUGUCACGCUUGUGCUGAAUCAACUGGACAAGGAUGAAGCCAGGUCAUAUAGUUGACUUGAUUUUUUUUUUUAUGGUUGAGUUGGUUUCUAGAUAUAAAUUGCCAAAAACUAGAAGUUUUAAUACGAGGUUUAAUUGAGAGGAUUUUCUAAACAAGUCUCAAUUUCUUUCAAAUGCAUUCACUUUUGUGGCUCACCAGAAAGUAGGAGUGCAAUUUUAGCAUAAUGUUUUUUUCUAGGCUUUUACAUAUUAAUGUGACACAUCACCCUUGAAAUUUAUUUAUUUCCUUUUGUAACAUCUAGGAUGGAAGUUCACUCCUUAUAAUGGUCAAUGAUAAUUAAAUCUAUUGGAAUUAUAUAUUGAUCUAGUAACCCAAAAAUAAACUAUUGCAGAAGAUACUUGGUCUAAACUAAAUAGUAUUGACAUUCAGAUGAAUCGGCUCCUUAAUCAGGCACAAUCACUAGUCAUGUCAAAUGCUAAGGUCUGAUUCCAAUAUGUAUUAUUUUUGCCCAUCUAAUUAAUAGUAAAUAGGAGAGUAUGAUACAAAUUGCAAAUGAAAAAUUUCUCUUACUACUUGAUACAUCAUCGUCAUGACAUAAUUUAUUGUGUGAGUACUAUGAUGUACGCGGUAAGUUGAUGGUGGUGACAGAGAUGAGGAGGAUGAUAGAGGUGGAGGCAAAGAUGAAAAUGAUGUUGGAGUCAGAGAUGAGGGGAUGAUGGAGAUGUAGAUGAGGAUGUUGGUGGAGAUGCAGAUGUUAAUGACGAUGGAGAUGAGAGGAAUGGUGAUGGAGAUGUUGAUGCAAUGAAUGUAGAACGAGAUGUUGGCGGAGAUGAUGUUAUUGAUGAAAUGGACAUGGUUUCAAUGGAAGUGGAUAAUGAUGACUUCGUUCUUAGCCUGUGCAAGUGGAUGGUGAUCGAAGACGAUGAUGAUGACUUUGUUUUUAGCCCCUUGGAUAAGAAGGCGGUUGAAAACAUGAAGUUAAAAGCAACCCUGAAAUCCCUUCCAUCAAAAGAACAGCUCCAUUGAGAUAUCGGCUUGAUGGAACAUCUCUUCGUUUCACCUUUUGUCCUGCUUGCUCAUCGAAAAGAAGUACCAAAUUAACCGGAAAGGAAGAAAGUAAGAGAUGAUGAGAGAUAUCUCCUUGAUAACUUUUGGAAGGACAAAAACAUGACUAUGUAAGGAAUUUGAAAAACCCAAUUUUAUGACUUGUAAGAAGUUUUCAUUGACUAUUUACUAAGUUUUUUCAUAUGUACGGAGACAUUUUUAUGGACAUCUAACGAUGCUUGGUUAACCCGCAAAGAUGCAUAUGAACUACUUCCUUUGUUGUUGUUUUUCAUGAGAUAGAAAGUGUUGAAGUACCUCGACAAUGUGGGUAAGAACUUUGGUAAGAACCUUUAUAUUUGUACUUAUAGUAGCUUAGAAUGCAGGGUGUUCUGGAUGGCAUACAUGUUUAGCGUUGCCUAUUGUCAACUGAUUUCAAUAGACCAAAAAGAUUGUACAAGAUGUAGAGCUCAUAUCUAGCACUAUUUCCAUCUGAAGGGAGAGUAUCUGAAUAAGGGGCAACAUCGAAAGUGAAGCAUUUAUUUUGUGAUUUCAAUGUAUUUUGUGUGGACAAUGGUACUGAAUUUUGGUGGGUAUACUUUGUUCAAUUUAUAUCUUUGUGUUUAUUGUCAUAUUUGAUGUAUAUUGUGAUCUUGGAUGUAUUUUAUAGUAAUGGAUGUAUUUUUUGUGGACAAUAGUAUUGGAUAUGGUUGGAUCUUUGUGUA